rnacentral:tRNA from 1 species
AGUUAAUGAACUUGAAUAAGUUUAUGUUUUGAAAACAUAGUAUAGUGGUACAUCCCCCUAUUAACUU